rnacentral:rRNA from 1 species
AUCUUCUCAGGAUGGGGAUCACUCGGCUCGUUCGUCGAUGAAGAGCGCGGCUAUCCGCGUGAACUGAUACGAAUUGCAGGACUCAGUGAACAUCGACAACUCGAACGCACAUUGCGGUCCCGGGAUCCUAUCAUCCCGGGGCCCCGUCCAGUCGAGAGGUU